AUGCUAUGAUGAGGUCAUUUUCUCAACAACUCUUUGUACCUUUCCCAUGCAUCAGGUAAUGCUUCAUUGUCCAAUUACUUAAAGAAACAUAUCUCAUUUCUGGACAU